rnacentral:rRNA from 1 species
GUASGGUGCGAGCGUUAAUCGGAAUUACUGGGCGUAAAGCGUGCGCAGGCGGUUUGCUAAGACCGAUGUGAAAUCCCCGGGCUUAACCUGGGAACUGCAUUGGUGACUGGCAGGCUAGAGUAUGGCAGAGGGGGGUAGAAUUCCACGUGUAGCAGUGAAAUGCGUAGAGAUGUGGAGGAAUACCGAUGGCGAAGGCAGCCCCCUGGGCCAAUACUGACGCUCAUGCACGAAAGCGUGGGGAGCAAACAGGAUUAGAUACCCUGGUAGUCCACGCCCUAAACGAUGUCAACUAGUUGUUGGGGAUUCRUUUCCUUAGUAACGUAGCUAACGCGUGAAGUUGACCGCCUGGGGAGUACGGUCGCAAGAUUA